GGCUAUGAGGGCAAUCUGACAGUGACAUCUGUAGUCCCAUUGAUCGCCAGAGUUGAUGCGGCUGAUUUGGCUGGCUAGGCAGGUGUUCCAUUCCUCCCUCACCGCUCCCUGUGCAUCCUUUCCCAAGCUGUGCUCUCAUCCUUGGUGGGUGAGGAUGACCUCCCGCAAUAGAGGAGGCUCAUUCUUUGGUCAAGGGUCUAUGUAUAUCUCUGCUUCCCUGCUAGAACCUCCAAACAAGCUCUCAAGGUCCACUUGUAGAAAAACAUAGGAUAAUCAAGCUUCUGAGACUCCAGAUACAUCCAAAUGAGGCAUGGCAUAUGGCAGUCUGCCUUUCUUU
ensembl:misc_RNA 7SK 7SK RNA